rnacentral:rRNA from 1 species
GUAGGUGGCAAGCGUUGUCCGGAAUUAUUGGGCGUAAAGCGCGCGCAGGCGGUUCUUUAAGUCUGAUGUGAAAGCCCACGGCUCAACCGUGGAGGGUCAUUGGAAACUGGAGAACUUGAGUACAGAAGAGGAAAGCGGAAUUCCACGUGUAGCGGUGAAAUGCGUAGAGAUGUGGAGGAACACCAGUGGCGAAGGCGGCUUUCUGGUCUGUAACUGACGCUGAGGCGCGAAAGCGUGGGGGAGCAAACAGGAUUAGAUACCCUGGUAGUCCACGCCGUAAACCGAUGAGUGCUAAGUGUUAGGGGGUUUUCCGCCCCUUAGUGCUGCAGCUAACGCAUUAAGCACUCCGCCUGGGAGUACGGCCGCAAGGCUG